ACAUGCAGAGAACUUUCCUAGAGAUGGAUUGGUGCCUUCGGGAACGUCUGACACAGGUGCUGCAUGGCUGUCGUCAGCUCGUGUCGUGAGAUGUUGGGUUAAGUCCCGUAACGAGCGCAACCCUUGUCCUUAGUUACCAGCACGUUAUGGUGGGCACUCUAAGGAGACUGCCGGUGACAAACCGGAGGAAGGUGGGGGAUGACGUCAAGUCAUCAUGGCCCUUACGGCCUGGGCUACACACGUGCUACAAUGGUCGGUACAAAGGGUUGCCAAGCCGCGAGGUGGAGCUAAUCCCAUAAAACCGAUCGUAGUCCGGAUCGCAGUCUGCAACUCGACUGCGUGAAGUCGGAAUCGCUAGUAAUCGUGAAUCAGAAUGUCACGGUGAAUACGUUCCCGGGCCUU
rnacentral:rRNA from 1 species